rnacentral:rRNA from 1 species
GUAACGGCUCACCAAGGCUACGACGGGUAGCUGGUCUGAGAGGACGACCAGCCACACUGGAACUGAGACACGGUCCAGACUCCUACGGGAGGCAGCAGUGGGGAAUCUUGCGCAAUGGGCGAAAGCCUGACGCAGCGACGCCGCGUGGGGGAGGAAGGCCCUAGGGUUGUAAACCCCUGUCAGGUGGGACGAACCCUGGGUCGACGAAUAGUUGACUCAGCUGACGGUACCAUCAGAGGAAGCUCCGGCUAACUACGUGCCAGCAGCCGCGGUAAUACGUAGGGCGCGAGCGUUGUCCGGAAUUAUUGGGCGUAAAGAGCUCGUAGGCGGCUUGUCGCGUCGGUUGUGAAAGCCCGGGGCUUAACCCCGGGUCUGCAGUCGAUACGGGCAGGCUAGAGUUCGGUAGGGGAGAUCGGAAUUCCUGGUGUAGCGGUGAAAUGCGCAGAUAUCAGGAGGAACACCGGUGGCGAAGGCGGAUCUCUGGGCCGAUACUGACGCUGAGGAGCGAAAGCGUGGGGAGCGAACAGGAUUAGAUACCCUGGUAGUCCACG